UGGGAACGUGCCCAAAGGUACGGAACAACUCCGGGAAACUGGAGCUAAUACCGUAUGUGCCCGAAAGGGGAAAGAUUCAUCGCCUUUGGAUCGGCCCGCGUCUGAUUAGCUAGUUGGCGGGGUAAUGGCCCACCAAGGCGACGAUCAGUAGCUGGUCUGAGAGGAUGAUCAGCCACAGUUGGGACUGAGACGACGGCCCAAACUCCGUACGGGAGGCAG
rnacentral:rRNA from 1 species